CGCGCCUCCGGGCGGCUGUGGCGCUCGGUGUUUCUACUUAAGCCCCUGGGAACCGCGAGCAGAGAGAACCCAAGCUCCCCGUUUUAAGUGAAAAUAUGGAAAUUGUGGCAUAGAAUUACAGUAUGUGAAAUCAGAACCAACAGUUCCCUGUCAUCUUGAAGCACCCGCGCCCUACUGGUUCCCUGACGCCUGGAUGGCACGCGGCGAACGUUUGCAGAAUAGAGUUGAAGUUAAAUGUUCCCACUGAACCUGUUUUUCAUUUAUUCGACAUUAUCGACUAUCCACCUUGUACCAGAACUGAAUCCUGUGCUUCAGACACCGUGCUGAACAAUCAAGAUUGUCCCUGCCCUCAGGAAGCUCUCAGUUCGGUUAUUCGACGACUUUCAGGGACAGCUCCCAUCCCCGGGGCCAGUUCUGUUUCUCUGUGCUUGCGCAAGGGCUUUGUGACUGAGUGACCGUGGACACGCUGGGCUACACAAUCAACACUAGGUGCCUACUUGGUGCAGAAUACGGCCCCCAAGACACCAAGUGCGGGAUGGAGGACGCAAAGAAGUGUAAAGAGGGCAGAGUACAUCAUGAGAAAUGCUGGGCUGGAGGAAGCACAAGCUGGAAUCAAGAUUGCUGGGAGAAAUAUCAAUAACCUCAGAUAUGUAGAUGACACCACUCUUCUGGCAGAAAGUGAAGAACUAAAGAGCCUCUUGAUGAAAGUGAAAGAGGAGUGUGAAAAAGUUGGCUUAAAACUCAACAUUCAGAAAACUAAGAUCAUGGCAUCGGGUCCCAUCACUUCAUGGCAAAUAGAUGGGGAGACAGUGGCUGACUUUAUUUUUCUAGGCUCCAAAAUGACUGCAGAUGGUGAUUGCAACCAUGAAAUUAAAAGACGCUUACUUCUUGGAAUGAAAGUUGUGACCAACUUAGACAGCAUAUUGAAAAGCAGAGACAUUACUUUGUCAACAAAGGUCCGUCUAGUCAAGGCUAUUGUUUUUCCAGUGGUCAUAUUUGGAUGUGAGAGUUGGACUUUAUAGUCCAACUUUAUAGUCUCUCUUUAUAGAGAGCUGAGCACCAAAGAAUUGAUGCUUUUGAACUGUGGUGUUGGAGAAGACUCUUGAGAGUCCCUUGGACUGCAAGGAGAUCCAACCAGUCCAUCCUAAAGGAGAUCAGUCCUGGGUGUUCGUUGGAAGGACUGAUGUUGAAGCUGAAACUCCAAUACUUUGGCCACCUGAUGUGAAGAGCUGACUCAUUUGAAAAGACCCUGAUGCUGGGAAAGAUUGAGGGCAGGAGGAGAAGGGGAUGACAGAGGAUGAGAUGGUUGGAUGGCAUCACUGACUCAAUGGACAUGGGUUUGGGUGGACUCCGGGAGUUGGUGAUGGACAGGGAGGCCUGGCUUGCUGUGGUUCAUGGGGUCACAAAGAGUUGGAUGUGACUGAGCAACUGAACUGAACUGAUGAGACAGAAAUUGAAUAAGUAGUUAUAAGUGUGAUGAAAUACCAAGGGGAAUCCAGAGUGCUUUUAAAUUUUCACUUCCAGCUGUACCUAGUAACCUGAAUUUUCAUUUGGAGGCUUGGCUUUUCUGUAAGGAUUUCAGAUCACCUUUUAAUGCUUUCUUUUUCUGUCCCCCAUAGUAACUUCUUACUCCAAUAGUUCAAGGUAUUAGGAAAGCAAUCUUUUAAAGUUAAUACAAAGUGCUGAAUAUCUGAAAUUCUCCCUAAAGUUUUCAGCUUAAAAAUGAAAAAAUGCUUUAUAAAAAUGACAUUUUAGGUAGUAUGAUAUGUAUUUUAAUUUUUUUUUUUGUAAUGGCUGGCAGAUAGUUCAUUACCUUACGUUUAGACCAAUGAUAUCCAAACUUCAUGGGGGUGUGCAAGAUGAUCCACUGUUGUGCAAAAAUAUACAUUAGAAGUUUGGUUUGCAUAUAUUUUUAUCUAAUAAACAAUUUUGUUUCAUUACUUUUUAAAAAAUAUGGGUUGACACUGGUGUUCCCACCUUGCAUUUAUUGAUAGACACAUGUCACAAACUGUAAAUGAAAUAUGGGAAGAGUGGGAAUUCCACAACUUGAAAGAGUUGAAAUUAGUACUUUGUUUACUAAUAUGGUCACGUAAUACAUGUGACUGGUUCCAUGUCUUUGUAGAUUAUCUAUUUAAAUAAAACUUCACAGUAAUGGACAA